rnacentral:rRNA from 1 species
GAUGAACGCUGGCGGCGUGCCUAAUACAUGCAAGUCGAGCGAACAGAUGAGGAGCUUGCUCCUCUGACGUUAGCGGCGGACGGGUGAGUAACACGUGGAUAACCUACCUAUAAGACUGGGAUAACUUCGGGAAACCGGAGCUAAUACCGGAUAAUAUAUUGAACCGCAUGGUUCAAUAGUGAAAGACGGUUUUGCUGUCACUUAUAGAUGGAUCCGCGCCGCAUUAGCUAGUUGGUAAGGUAACGGCUUACCAAGGCAACGAUGCGUAGCCGACCUGAGAGGGUGAUCGGCCACACUGGAACUGAGACACGGUCCAGACUCCUACGGGAGGCAGCAGUAGGGAAUCUUCCGCAAUGGGCGAAAGCCUGACGGAGCAACGCCGCGUGAGUGAUGAAGGGCUUCGGAUCGUAAAACGCUGUUAUUAGGGAAGAACAAAUGUGUAAGUAACUAUGCACGUCUUGACGGUACCGAAUCAGAAAGCCACGGCUAACUACGU